rnacentral:piRNA from 1 species
UGCAUCUAGACUGUAUGACGUAUGGCUU